rnacentral:rRNA from 1 species
UACGUAGGGGCGAGCGUUGUCCGGAUUUAUUGGCGUAAAGAGCGUGUAGGCGGCCAGGUAGGUGGGUUGUGAAAACUGGAGGCUCAACCUUCAGACGUCGACCCAAACCCUUGGCUAGAGUCCGGAAGAGGAGAGUGGAAUUCCUGGUGUAGCGGUGAAAUGCGCAGAUAUCAGGAAGAACACCCGUGGCGAAGGCGGCUCUCUGGACGGUACUGACGCUGAGACGCGAAAGCGUGGGGAGCGAACAGG